rnacentral:tRNA from 1 species
GGGGCUGUGGCGCAGAUGGGAGCGCGCUUGAAUCGCACUCAAGAGGUCGGGGGUUCGAAUCCCCCCAGCUCCA